GCGCGAGUGGCGGAAUGGCAGACGCGCUGGAUUCAGGUUCCAGUGGCCGAAAGGUCGUGGGGGUUCAACUCCCCCCUCGCGCA
rnacentral:tRNA from 1 species